UCCUCCUUGUGGGAGACUGUCCCUCCAGAGAAAACAACUGGAAGCGAGGGUUGCGCUCGUUGCAAGACUUAACCCAACACCUCACGGCACAAGCUGACAACAGCCAUGCAACACCUGUGCAAAUUCCGGAUUGGAUACCGGUCGUCGCCCUUUCGAGUCCCUACUUCUUGCAUGUCAAGCCCUGGUAAGGUUCUGCGUUUUGCAUCGAAUUAAACCACACGCUCCACCGCUUGUGCGGGCCCCCGUCAAUUCCUUUGAGUUUUAGCCUUGCGGCCGUAGUCCCCAGGCGGAGUACUUAACGCGUUAGCUUCGGCACGGAAAAAGUCGAUACCCCCCAUACCCAGUACUCAUAGUUUAGGGCGUGGACUAC
rnacentral:misc_RNA from 1 species